GGCGCGUGCUGGAGCCGAGCACCCUUGGGUUGCCACCUGCGGGGCCCGGCUGGCCUGGUUCGGGGCGCGAACCCGCGAGGAGCGAGCGGCGGGCGCGGCGGCGGCGACGACGGCGGCUGGAGGAGGGGCCCAGAGCCCAGAGCCGUGCCAAAGGACACCCCGUCCUCCAAAUGCUGCCACUUGAGUGAGGCGCGCGAGAAGGCGGCGCCGCUGGCCUUGCAGCCGGACUGCUCUGCGCUCCGCACCCCGCCGCCCUGACGCCAACCAGCGCCCCCCGGGCGGCGGCUUCGGGGACCGAGCAGCGCACGCAGCCGGCCAAUGCUGGAUGCCUCCCCGGCCCCGCGGCCGUCCCGAGGGGCGUUGGGCACCAGCCGCCCCGGCGAUGUGCUGUGAUAGGCGCAGAUGAGCCGCAGCCAGUGCGACAAAGAACCUGCUGAUGGCAACUGUAAACGAAGAUUCUCACAGGAAGCGUGCAGGUUCCUCACUUACACAGACUCACGUAACCCCGCAAAAGUGCUUCCCUGCUCCCUUCUCCAGUUAAAGGUCUCCUGUGUGCUCUUACCUUUCAGUUACAAGUCUUUGAUCCCAGAGUGCUCCAUUUUCAGUUGCCUUAUCUGUCCUUUGCUAACCACCUAUGGUCAUUAGCACUCAAAGCACAAUUUGGAAGGGGAUAAAAAUGAUCCUAGUUCCAAAGGAAUAAUUUGUGUCAAAUUGCCUUAUUAGUAUUAAAAAUAGACAUACUGCUGAAUGAAUGAGCUAGCAUGACACAUGUAUCCUACUUAAUAUCAUUGCCAUUUUAUGAGAUGAGGGAACUAUACUUUUUUAUUGUAUAGUUUUAGGAAUCAAGUAAAUUCAAGGAAUAGUAGUUAAAAAACAAAGUUCCAACAAAUCUAUUGUUUGCUUAAUCAUAAGGCCCUCACUAUGUAUCUGUGUGGCCAAAUAGAACAUAUCUUCCUUGGGCAAGUGGGCACAAGCUCAGAUGUACUCCCUAUCUCUUACUUUGCAAAACUCACAUUUUGUUAGCUAAUUCUCUUCCUGUAAGACUUAGCUAUGAAAUGGUAUAUUUUUUCCAAAUAUUUUUGAGAAAACAUUUUUUUCUAACUGUACAAUAAAAGUCUAGUUGCAAUUAACUAGCUAUGAGUUCUUAUUAAAGCAAAUGCCUUUCAACAUUGUAUACUGUCAAAUUUUUUGACAUAAAGAACUUAACAUUUUAUGCAUGUCUAAUGAAUACAAAGUGAAUAAAAAUACAAAUAAUUUCUUGGAUCAUUCAGGUCCAAUUUAAGAGCUUUAAGAAUAUAAAUGUAAACAUGUCCAUUA